rnacentral:rRNA from 1 species
AUUAUACCGUGAAACUGCGAAUGGCUCAUUAAAUCAGUUAUCGUUUAUUUGAUAGUACCUUACUACUUGGAUAACCGUGGUAAUUCUAGAGCUAAUACAUGCUGAAAACCCCAACUUCGGAAGGGGUGUAUUUAUUAGAUAAAAAACCAACGCCCUUCGGGGCUUCUUGGUGAUUCAUAAUAACUUUACGGAUCGCAUGGCCUUGCGCCGGCGACGGUUCAUUCAAAUUUCUGCCCUAUCAACUUUCGAUGGUAAGGUAUUGGCUUACCAUGGUUUCAACGGGUAACGGGGAAUUAGGGUUCGAUUCCGGAGAGGGAGCCUGAGAAACGGCUACCACAUCCAAGGAAGGCAGCAGGCGCGCAAAUUACCCAAUCCCGACACGGGGAGGUAGUGACAAUAAAUACUGAUACAGGGCUCUUUUGGGUCUUGUAAUUGGAAUGAGUACAAUUUAAACCUCUUAACGAGGAACAAUUGGAGGGCAAGUCUGGUGCCAGCAGCCGCGGUAAUUCCAGCUCCAAUAGCGUAUAUUAAAGUUGUUGCAGUUAAAAAGCUCGUAGUUGAAACUUGGGUCUGGCUGGCAGGUCCGCCUCACCGCGUGUACUUGUCCGGCCGGGCCUUCCUUCUGGAGAACCUCAUGCCCUUCACUGGGCGUGUUGGGGNACCAGGACUUUUACUUUGAAAAAAUUAGAGUGUUCAAAGCAGGCCUUUGCUCGAAUACGUUAGCAUGGAAUAAUAGAAUAGGACGUGCGUUCCUAUUUUGUUGGUUUCUAGGAACGCCGUAAUGAUUAAUAGGGACAGUCGGGGGCAUCAGUAUUCAAUUGUCAGAGGUGAAAUUCUUGGAUUUAUUGAAGACUAACUACUGCGAAAGCAUUUGCCAAGGAUGUUUUCAUUAAUCAGUGAACGAAAGUUAGGGGAUCGAAGACGAUCAGAUACCGUCGUAGUCUUAACCGUAAACUAUGCCGACUAGGGAUCGGGCGAUGUUCUUUUUCUGACUCGCUCGGCACCUUACGAGAAAUCAAAGUUUUUGGGNU